rnacentral:rRNA from 1 species
CUUCGGAUGAAAGUUUGGUGACUGAGUGGCGGACGGGUGAGUAACGCGUGGGUAACCUGCCCUGUACAGGGGGAUAACAGCUGGAAACGGCUGCUAAUACCGCAUAAGCGCACGAGGAGACAUCUCCUAGUGUGAAAAACUCCGGUGGUACAGGAUGGGCCCGCGUCUGAUUAGCUGGUUGGCAGGGUAACGGCCUACCAAGGCAACGAUCAGUAGCCGGUCUGAGAGGAUGAACGGCCACAUUGGAACUGAGACACGGUCCAAACUCCUACGGGAGGCAGCAGUGGGGAAUAUUGCACAAUGGGGGAAACCCUGAUGCAGCAACGCCGCGUGAGUGAAGAAGUAUUUCGGUAUGUAAAGCUCUAUCAGCAGGGAAGAUAAUGACGGUACCUGACUAAGAAGCUCCGGCUAAAUACGUGCCAGCAGCCGCGGUAAUACGUAUGGAGCAAGCGUUAUCCGGAUUUACUGGGUGUAAAGGGUGCGUAGGUGGCAGUGCAAGUCAGAUGUGAAAGGCCGGGGCUCAACCCCGGAGCUGCAUUUGAAACUGCAUAGCUGGAGUACAGGAGAGGCAGGCGGAAUU